GAGAGAGAGAGAGAGAGAGAGAGAGAGAGAGAACAAGAAGAAGAAAUCAAAGUCCUAUUCAUCUUUGGUCAUUGGAGCUGACAGCUGUGAGCAGAAACACACCUGCAGAUGGAGAGUCUGCUUAGGAGCUGGAGGCGAGGUUGGAGGCAGGUGCAUUGGACAUUAUGGGGCAGGUUCCAGUCACUGCACAAUCUGGGAUCUGGGGGGGAUCAAUAUAAGAAGUAUAUGUGGGUGCAUCAUCAGCCCUCAUGUGAUGACCUGCCUAUUUGUCUCCACCCAAACCCCCACGCUCCCUUUCCACUCCUGUUCCCAGAAGCCCCAGGGGUCGACUACUGAUGAGGUCAUGGAUGGAAUAAGUGAGUCAUUGUGUGACCGUGUAUUUGCACUGUACUCCACCCUCUCUGGGGAUCACAUGCAUGGAUACUGCAAUGGGACUCUGAUUCUUAUUUUACUACCAGUUCACUGAACAAAGGUUGGAGUCAAGCAUGUGGUUAUUCACACCAUUUUGAGAGGUUUCUUAGUUGCUGAGAUUUAUAUUAUCUGAAGUUUGGAUUGGAAUCACUGCAGUGAAUCAUCAUGGCCAAGUGUUUGGCAAUGAAAUUUGCACAGGAUGUGAUGAUGCAACUGAUAUGGUUUCCAGUUUCACUUGCAGAGCUGGGAAUCAUCAUGACUGAUGCUCCUUUGUUUCAGUACCGGUCAGCUCCACAUAUGUAUGGAAUGAACGUUAUUCUUUCAACGAGCUUGCACGGGGUAUGCUUAUUUGGUUUAAGAAAUUAAUUUGCAUUUGCAGCAUUCAUUUCCUUAUUCGGUCUUGGUGAGAUAAUUGCCUGGAAACUGAGACUAGCUGCACAAAGCUGCUUCAACAUUCGAGCAUGGACGAAUGACCUGGCAAAACGUGGCUCUCACACGUAAGCUACAACCGCACUUCUAUCCAUCUUGUAAAUACUGAACAGACCACAUGAAGUGCAGAGAGAGGCUAAGAAUUUGGAUGAGAAAUGGUAAGAAGACCCAAAGUCCUGAGCUUGUGGAUUCCCAGUGUAAUGAGCCAGGCUGCUGUUCUAUGGGCCUCCCAUGAGCUCGGCUGAUUGGCUUGUGUUGUUACUCCUAUGUGGUGCUGACAAUACAGUAGACCUGUCGUGAAGCUGGAUAACGAUGAGUGAGGGUCUGUCCAAUCAGAUGUAAUUAUUAUUUUUUUCUGUCAUCAGAAGCUCACCAUGAGGUUGCUCCCACUGUUCUGCAAUGGACAAAAUGUAUUUACUGAACUGACAGACGCAAUCACUGCCUAGGGAAGCCAAUUUUUUUUCCUAAAAUGGAAAUUAAUUACCAGUAUGAAAAAUAAUAAAUUAAAUGUGUUCAGUAAUUAUAAUUUUCUACACACAUGAUUAUAAUUAUGCACAGCAUUGGAUGAUUUCAUGGUUACAACACAUAUCUACAGUGGGGUUCAAAAGUAAAAGACUGCAUUAAAAACCUUAUAUAUAUUAAAUAUAGAUAGAUAGAUAGAUUCAAACAAAGACAGUAAAUGUCAAAAAAAUCAGUAUCUUCUUGACUCCAUUUCUAUAUCUCUAUUUAAGCAAAUAUGUUAUAUUGACCCUGUUAACUGCUUUGUAAAAAUGAUUAGCUUCUCUUCAUGUCUAAUCUCCUAUUUCAAAGCAUGAAGUUGAUCUAAAAUGAAUCAGCAUUAAAGCAUAACCACCAAAUACUAAG